rnacentral:rRNA from 1 species
AACGAACGCUGGCGGCAGGCCUAACACAUGCAAGUCGAGCGCCCCGCAAGGGGAGCGGCGGACGGGUGAGUAACGCGUGGGAAUAUGCCCUUUGCUACGGAAUAGUCUCGGGAAACUGGGGGUAAUACCGUAUACGCCCUUUGGGGGAAAGAUUUAUCGGCGAAGGAUUAGCCCGCGUGGGAUUAGGUAGUUGGUGGGGUAAUGGCCUACCAAGCCGACGAUCCAUAGCUGGUUUGAGAGGAUGAUCAGCCACACUGGGACUGAGACACGGCCCAGACUCCUACGGGAGGCAGCAGUGGGGAAUCUUAGACAAUGGGGGCAACCCUGAUCUAGCCAUGCCGCGUGAGUGAUGAAGGCCUUAGGGUUGUAAAGCUCUUUCAGCUGGGAAGAUAAUGACGGUACCAGCAGAAGAAGCCCCGGCUAACUCCGUG